UACGGAGGGGGCAAGCGUUGUUCGGAAUUACUGGGCGUAAAGGGCGCGCAGGCGGCUGCUCAAGUCAGGCGUGAAAGGCCUGGGCUCAACCCGGGAAUUGCGCUUGAGACUGGGCUGGCUUGAGUGCGGGAGAGGAUGGUGGAAUUCCCAGUGUAGAGGUGAAAUUCGUAGAUAUCGGGAAGAACACCGGUGGCGAAGGCGGUGCUCUGGGCCAGUACUGACGCUGAAUAGCGAAAGCGUGGGUAGCGAACAGG
rnacentral:rRNA from 1 species